rnacentral:rRNA from 1 species
UACGGAGGAUGCGAGCGUUAUCCAGAUUUAUUGGGUUUAAAGGGUGCGCAGGCGGAUUUUUAAGUCAGCGGUCAAAUCGUGGGGCUCAACCCCGUCGAGCCGUUUGAACUGGCGCGCUUGAGUUCAGGCGAGGUAGGCGGAAUUCGUGGUGUAGCGGUGAAAUGCAUAGAUAUCACGAAGAACUCCGAUUGCGAAGGCAGCUUACCAGUCUGCGACUGACGCUCAGGCACGAAAGUGUGGGUAUCGAACAGG